rnacentral:rRNA from 1 species
AUUGAACGCUGGCGGAAUGCUUUACACAUGCAAGUCGAGCGGCAGCGCGGGGCAACCUGGCGGCGAGCGGCGAACGGGUGAGUAAUACAUCGGAACGUGCCCAGACGUGGGGGAUAACUACUCGAAAGAGUGGCUAAUACCGCAUACGAUCUAAGGAUGAAAGCGGGGGAUCGCAAGACCUCGCGCGUUUGGAGCGGCCGAUGGCAGAUUAGGUAGUUGGUGGGGUAAAGGCUUACCAAGCCCGCGAUCUGUAGCUGGUCUGAGAGGAUGAUCAGCCACACUGGGACUGAGACACGGCCCAGACUCCUACGGGAGGCAGCAGUGGGGAAUUUUGGACAAUGGGCGAAAGCCUGAUCCAGCCAUUCCGCGUGCAGGAUGAAGGCCCUCGGGUUGUAAACUGCUUUUGUACAGAACGAAAAAGACUCUUUUAAUACAGAGAGUCCAUGACGGUACUGUAAGAAUAAGCACCGGCUAACUACGUGCCAGCAGCCGCGGUAAU